rnacentral:lncRNA from 1 species
AGGCUCAGUGAGGGCUGAAGUCAAGGUCAGUGUGUAGCUAGGGUCAUGGCUUAGGCAGUGGUCAAGGCAUGGAUCAAAGAGAUUGAUUGCAUCAGAAAUUAUAAUCAAUCAGGAUACUUCUUUGCAGAUUGUCUGUUACAGCAGAGGCUGUGCCAUGUGGUUUCUGCUCUGACAGCUAAAUCCUCGUCAUGGAGCUCACUGCCUGGGUUUGUAGAGAUGCUGAUUUCUCAGAGGAACAUGGAUCUAAUGGCGU